GUAGUUCAGCUGGUUAGAAUGCUGGCCUGUCACGCCGGAGGUCGCGGGUUCGAGUCCCGUC
rnacentral:tRNA from 1 species